rnacentral:rRNA from 1 species
ACUGGGGGCGUGCGGGCGAUACGGGCAGACUGGAGUACUGCAGGGGAGACUGGAAUUCCUGGUGUAGCGGUGGAAUGCGCAGAUAUCAGGAGGAACACCGGUGGCGAAGGCGGGUCUCUGGGCAGUAACUGACGCUGAGGAGCGAAAGCGUGGGGAGCGAACAGGAUUAGAUACCCUGGUAGUCCACGCCGUAAACGGUGGGUACUAGGUGUGGGUUUCCUUCCUUGGGAUCCGUGCCGUAGCUAACGCAUUAAGUACCCCGCCUGGGGAGUACGGCCGCAAGGCUAAAACUCAAAGGAAUUGACGGGGGCCCGCACAAGCGGCGGAGCAUGUGGAUUAAUUCGAUGCAACGCGAAGAACCUUACCUGGGUUUGACAUGCACAGGACGCGUCUAGAGAUGGGCGUUCCCUU